CACCGCGGUUAAACGAGAGGCCCCAGUUAAUAAUACACGGCGUAAAGGGUGGUUAAGGAAAGCAUAACGAUAAAGCCGAAUGGCCCUUUGGCUGUCAUACGCUUCUAGGUGUCCGAAGCCCAAUAUACGAAAGUAGCUUUAGUAAAGCCCACCUGACCCCACGAAAGCUGAGAAACAAACUGGGAUUAGAUACCCCACUAUGCUCAGCCAUAAACCUAGACGUCCAGCUACAAUUAGACGUCCGCCCGGGUACUACGAGCAUUAGCUUGAAACCCAAAGGACCUGACGGUGCCUUAGACCCCCCUAGAGGAGCCUGUUCUAGAACCGAUAACCCCCGUUAAACCUCACCACUUCUAGCCACCCCAGCCUAUAUACCGCCGUCGUCAGCUUACCCUGUGAAGGCAAUAAAAGUAAGCAAGAUGGGCACAGCCCAGAACGUCAGGUCGAGGUGUAGCGUACGAAGCGGGAAGAAAUGGGCUACAUUUUCUACAAUAGAACACUACGGACAUGCAACAUGAAAUAGUGCUUGAAGGAGGAUUUAGUAGUAAAGAGGAAGCAGAGUGUCCUUUUGAACCCGGCUCUGAGGCGCGUACACACCGCCCGUCACUCUCCCCUGUCAAAAUGCAAUAAAGCUACCUAACAACAGAGCGCUGACAAGGGGAGGCAAGUCGUAA
rnacentral:rRNA from 1 species